AUCGCGAGCGCAGGAAGAGCAGCAGUUUUUUACUGUAACCGCUCGGAGUUUCCCCGCGAACGCAAGAGGAGCCCGGUGUCUCGAGCAGAAUGAAUGGCAUUCUACCUGCGGAUGAAUAGGAGGCCAGUGAGACUCUCUGACAGAGGAAGAGUGUUUAUUGAGGGCUAAAGGGCUUGAGGAGGCACCACAAUCAGACAGCUUCACAUAGAGAGCUGUACUGCUUUACUGCGCUUGGUCGAGAGGCCACGGCUGUGUUCGCUCCCUAGUGCCACACCCAUUGACUCCAUUUCACAGAAUGUUUUUGGGCUGCUUAUGGCGAAGUAAUAUAGAAAUGUACAUUUUAGAUAUAAAUAUCACAUUUAUUUUUUGCUCAUCACAACGGCUGCUCAGUGUCUUUGGUGAUUAUGUCCCUGUUUGUUACAAAGAUAUGUGUAUAUGUGUGGUAAUUGCAGCUUGAAGAAACUGAAGAUAGAACUUCCAUGACAGGAACAUGGCUAGUCAAACAGUGUGAGUUUUUUGCACCAUGAGGGGUUCAAAGUGUCUCUGCAUGGCUGUAAAUAAAAAAGAAAGCAGGGCCACACCUAUAUAUGUCCCUCCUAAAACUAUCAUUGUUUUUAGGAGAAAGUUCUGAAUCAUAAUAAACUGCAAAAUCCAGAAUCCAUGGGAGGUUGAUGUGCUUAUUCAAGAUGAUUUUCUUGAGAAAAAUACAUUGUAUAUUACACAUAAAUUACCAGUUACAUCAUUUUUCGGGGUUUGCAAUUCAGUAUGUAUAGAAAUAUUGACUCAUUCUGUCAUCUUAAAGCUUAAAAUACCCAGCUAAACAUGGAAGUGAAAAUGCUUGCAUGAUAAUAUUUAUGCUCACUGAAUUAUUGUGGUGGAAUUUGAAUGGCUCAUUCUUGACUUAUUACUCUCAUGCGCUGUGUGAAAAAGUGUCGUGGGGUAGAGGUUAAUUGUUUUUAGAUCUUUAUGUGUCAAGAGAAAAUGGAGGAACUGGUGCAUAAUUGAACUCCCGGUCGCUUGAGCGAUUAUGGAUUACUGUGCCUCUCUAAAGGAGAAAAAGGAGAAAGAAAGUGAGGGAACGAGAGAAGAGAAAAGACGAAAAGACUCAUGUUGUGAGCUGAAGCCACAGGGGUUGUCUGGACCUUUCAGAGCAAGAGGGAGUGAAGGCUUGUUUAGGCAGCGGCCCUAGGGGGCUUGACCUUUGACCUGUGCUGUGCCUCUUUGAACUCCAGGUGCAGGUCGGUUCUCCAUGGCAUUCGUUACAGACACAUACAUGGGCACAUGUGAUGACAUGCAGCCUUACGAAAUUAUAUUUUUCACGUGGGGCGUUCUUGAGUCCAAAAGGCCUGGCAAGGCAUGUGGACAAACCUUUUAUCCUUUCAUUGACUGUGUUGAGAAUGAAUUAUUAAAACAGCCUUUAAGUUCAUGGAAAAAAAAGAAGAACGCAACUGAAGAUAAUGGUGUGUUGUAAUAUUCAUGAAUGCAUUAAUCAGGAGGUUGUCAUGUAUAAUUAUUACAGUAUUUGAUAAUGCCAGAGCAAAUCACCUCGGGCAGUGGUGAUUGCUGCCUGAUGCUAUUAACGUUCUUUAAUAAAAUGCCCGUGUGGGCCGAACCAUCAGCGCAUCCUGAUAGUUAAGUGCUGUAAGGUUAAUGAGGCAAUUUACAUACGUUCUGCCACCAUCUGGACGCAGUAAGACACAGCUGCUUUCUCUUAUUUCAUACUGCGUUUUGGGAGCUAACCCGCAUAAAUGUCAUUCCAGUACAUACAGAGAGCUUGUUGAACACAUUUGACUUUUGUCCCGUCAACACGGUUGAAUUCUGGGAGAUUCGCUGUGCUAAUGAGCAGUUUUGCUUCUCAGUUGCAAUUUUAAUUUGUAAUCCCCCGCAUGGUAGCUGGCAUUUUCAGCCUUUUCUGAAAGAAAAAAAAGGAAAAUAAGAGUAACUGAUUUGUUUUAAAUUGUUUUGUUUUUUUUAAUACCUUAUGCUAAUAAGUAGAUUAGCUUCCUUUAAUUUCGAUUUUAGCAUACAGUAUCUUUUUAUAAUUAGAUGUGGGCGAAGCAUUGUUGUUCAUCUUAAGAAGCCUGAGCCUAUUGCCUGUGUUGGCAAGUCUUUGUCAGUUUUAUAAGUCAUCAAUCACUGAUUAUAUGAGUGAAAGUGUUCAAAAGUUCACAUGAUUAAACCUGGAGUGAAACCUCUUAGAGAUAUGACUGUCAUUACCAUAAAAUUGGUCUCUAGGUCAUCUAGGUCACUUUUUUUUUUUUAAGUCCACACUUGUUGUGUUUUCUUCAGAAGAUCUGACUUGAGGUAUCAGUGAAUUUGCAGGAAAGAUUCUUUAUACUGUAGGUUAGCCUGCACUCUGUUGAGGAAUUUCAGUAUCCUUAACAGCAAGAAAAAGGAUACCCGGGUGUCUCAUUUUGCAUCUAUUCUGAUUCUACAGCCGCCCAUUUAUACAGAUAAUUACACCACUUCCUCCAAGGACUGUACAAAGAACAGGCACUAUGCAACUGAUAACCAAGCAAGAAAACCGAACCGACCAAGGGCUGUUAAAGAUUUGCUGUUUGGACCCGAAGAAGGAAGUCACGACAGGAUCACCUCUGACAGCUGAAAGCAAAUAACUGUUACUGGGCUAUCUGUAAAAUUGCUGAGAUUGAUCGUGAAAGGGAAGGCAAAACUGUGGAAUUCCUGCUGGCUCAGUUUCAGGCAAGGGAGAAAACAAAUUUAUGUUUUUUAAACAUUUUCCGGAUGUUUCAUUGUGUUUGUGGGAAUGUAAAAAAAAGUCCAGUUUUCUUAAAGCAAGUAGAACGUUAUUUAAAGAUUAGAAUAAAAUUUCUGAAAAGGUGAAAACUUCCUGAAAACGUAAUUUGCCAACUUAGAAAAAUAUAUUUAAAAAUAGUUUAAAGGACGAGGAGGAGGGCGUGGCCGGGCUGUGAUGGUGCACGGCCGGCACUGAAUUAGCUGAUCAGCAGGAGAGUGAGAUAAAGGGCAGCCAGAGGCGCCAGUUCGAGAGAGAGAGACGCACGUGGCCGCACUGCAUGUGUGUCUGUGUCCUUAUGUUUUAUGUUGUUUUAAAUUAAUUUAUAUCAUUAAAGUUUAUGAUUACAGUUCAACCGGUUCCCGCCUCCUCAAUGUUACAAUGUACAAACAAUUCUCACAUCGUGAGAACGUUUAUCAAAUACUAAUACCAUCAUUGUGUCAGAAUCAGCCCGGUAUUUGUUCCAGUAAGAAGAUUGUAGAAGAGGAGAUGGGAAAUAACUGGCAUUGUCAGAGCUUCAGUCCUAGAUGAAAGACUUCGAAUAUGCAAUAUCUUCAAAUUCAGCAUUUGUCUGGAUGUGUGGCUUUAUCAAAGUUUAGCAGAGCUACAGAGCCUUUAUUUGUCGUUGGGUGUUCUGCAAUCUGUGAAAGUUUUUUUGUUUGGCUGCACCUCAUUUCAACUCGAGACCUUGCUGCAAGUGCAGUACUGUUUUGUGAUCCAUUCAGUCCAACUUUAUACGUGCGGUUGACUCAUUUAAUCUGUCUUUGAACCCUAUUCAUGUGUGUGCAAAGUGAGCUAAAGACCUGCGAGCAGUAAACUUCAAAGCUCGUCCAUAUUGUACUUAUAACAAGAAGUGCAUCCAAGCAUUAGUGGUUUUCAUAUCCAAACCAUUUAUCCAAAGCUUGCAGUAAGGAAGUUUAAAUUGGCAAGCGAUUGGCAUCAACACUUUGUUCCACAUCUUGCAACUCAUCCAAAAUGAAAAACCAACAGCAAGGCUCAUUGGUGCUGAUCUGUUAGAGAAGUUGCAGGUUUACACACUGGCCUCUGGUCUUCCUUCUUUGAAUUUGAGGGCUGAUGAAGUAGACGUUAGACUGACCUACUCCAGUUUGCAUUUAAUGUCUGAAUGGUCAGUAAAUGAUUUUUCAGUCUGAUUUAGUGCCAAAUAUUUAACACUGUUGGAGAAGUCCUGUCUACAUCUUUCAUUAAGUACUUUUACAUGUGCAGUUAUAAUCAAGCUACAGCAAUUAUACAUGACAUAAUAAUGUUACUCGUCACCUUUAUCUUUUAAAGCAAGGCCAAUGGUCUGACUAACUUGUAUACAUGCUGGACGAAGAUGAGCUACAAUCACAUUAUCUAGGUUUGUUAAAGCAUUUACAUGACAUUUUAAAAAGAAGAAUUAUUGUUUUAGUCCAACUGAAAUCGAACUUUUAAGGUAAUGGUAAAGUUAAAGUCAACAUACUGACUGUCAAUUUCAGGAUCCUGUAGGGACCUGUCCAUGUCUCAUAGUGACUAAAUGGGGGGACGUUCUUUUCAGCAUCAGAUACGGUGCCUGUCCCUUUCAGACCCACCCCAAGCCUCUCAUUUCCCUUUUUAAAUUAAAGCCAAAGCUCCAAGUAAAGGAGACAUUUUGUGAGGUGUGCUACGACCUUUUGCAGCUACAAGAACAUAGAUGAGGUUUGUUGGUGAUGUUCUUUGGGUACUAGAUGUCAGUUUGAUGGAUGUUUAAUUGAGACAUGGUGGACAAUGAACUCGAAGAUCCCAAGAGACCACUCAAUUAGUUUAGCGACACUGCUGAAGCCUCCCAGUUUAGUCAAUGUGAGCACUGGGACUAGUAACCUCCAGAGGUUUCCAUGGUCUGUUUACAAAUGCAUCCAAACUCCCUGUGGUCCUGCCCUGGUAACCUCUUAAUUUGAGUUUAACAGUCCUUUUAAAAAAAAAUUUGUGCUGAAGUAAAUUUGGCAUGUGACCAUUGUCAUGCUCCUCUCGUUGACUUUAUUAGCAUUUGCAUGAAUAGCAUAGCUUUAGUUUGCUUAAGUUAAGUCUGACUACUAGGGUUUCAGUAUCAAAGUAGAUGUCUGUAGUGAAACAUGAUUCUUUAAACGUAAAAUGUGCCAAGUACUUUCUGCUCACUUUGGAUAAACCUCUUAAAAUACAAUAUUCUGAAUGUUGCUAACUUUGCUGUAUUUUGAUUCAUUUUUAUGUGGGACUACCAUGAAACUUUGUGGGACUUCUUUAUGAACAAAAAAUUUACUUUGUCACAAACUUCCUGCCUUUAAAGGGAUAGUUCAACCAUAAAUGAAAAUGAAUGUCAUAAUUUACUCACCCUCAUGUUGUUCCAGUUUUCAUUUUGGGAUAAAUGUCCCUUCGAUGUCCCACUUUGUCUUCACUCUUUAAAACUUUCUUAACAAAUGACUUAAGUUACCAUUUAUGUUCAGUCAUAACAAACUAAAACAUGCGUCUUCCUUAGCUCUAAGCCCUGGAGAUAUUACUAGUCCUGAAAAAAUGUAUAUGUUUAUGUCAGACUUUUCAAUAAUGCAUUGCACAUUAUUUAUGUCAAAAUAUACAGAGUAACUUGUACAAGUGUGCACAUAUGCACAGUUUACACUGUAUGUAUCUUUGUAAUUAAACAUGAUAGAUUUAAUAAACAAAAAUCAAAGUCAGUGUUAAAAUAAAUUUAAGCAAAAAUAUAUGAUAUCGCAAUCUUGCUCUGCACACACUAAGGUUGUGUAUCAAACCAUUGUUGGAGUUUGGAUUUUAAGGAGGUUUAAGUAGGUUUUUUCUCUCCAUUAUCAAUAAAUAGUAAGUUAUAUUUUCUUAAGAAGGAAGAUGGUGACAUGAAUUGGUCCAUAAUUUAAAAUACAGAAUGUGUGCAUCUAAUUCAAUGGUGUUAGUUGGUUAAAAGUAUGUUCUAAUACAAAAAAAAAAAAAAAAAAAAAAAAAAAACAA